GGGAGGUGUAUCUUCACAAAUACAGCAGAAAAAGAAGCCUUCACAUCCAAUGUGGUAUUUCACAUGCCGUCCGGUCUGUUGUUAGCAGUGUCUAAUCAAGCAUACCCCUUUGCUCGGAUAUGCUUCACCGCCUUUGUAGAAGUUGCAGUACUUUGGACAUCUUGUGGAAUAUCUGUU